GCCCCGUUAGCUCAGUGGUAGAGCGUGCUUGUCUUCUUCGGCAAGGCACUGGUUCGAUUCCAGUACGGGGCA
rnacentral:tRNA from 2 species